CUCGGAGGGGCCGAGAUCCGCGUCCCGACCUUUAGGAAGCCGCCAUCAAAGAAAGCGGCCGCGAGGAGCGCACCGCACAGGGGAAGGUCCACGCGUGCUUGGGCCGCGCGGGGGGGGGGGGACCGGUGCGCGGCCAGAACACAUCCGGAAAGAGCUCUUUUCUCCGGUUCAUCCAGGUAAAAUUGGUGUUUGGCAUGCUCUAAGGGAAUUCCAUCACCGGAGUUAAGAAGGAAAGAAGAGCAUCUGUCCUCCAGGCUGGGCUUUGUCUCAGUUUGCUCUGCGACUGCACUAGCGCAGCAAGGCUACAUAAGGAGGCUUUUCAGCAGAGGAGCCUGGUGUUGAACUCCUGCCAUGGGGAAUGAAUUCUUCUAUAGACCCCUCGUCCUCUUCAGAAAGUUGAAGGGGGACGAUUUGCAAAGAAGAAAAGCAUAUGUGUGUGAAUGUGUCUUCCUGUCCCAGCAUUCUGUUCCUUUGUGUCUUUAAGUUCUUGUGCUUCUGUGUGCACUUGAUUGUCAGUGCAGCGCAAGACGCUCACGAGCCUCCACACUCACAGUGCCCCCGAUAGCGCCAGUGUAAACUACUUUGCACAGCAUGAGUUGUAUUCCUGCUGAAGAACUAACUGGCUUUUACAGAAUUUGCAAAGCUAGCAAUUAGACAACUAACACCGUGCCACUGUGUCACUAAAGGGAAAAUUCAGUAUUGCUAGGAACCGAGAAUGGCUCUCUGCAGUGUUGUUUUUAUGGGAAGAAAUAUGUAUAUAGAGAAGUCCUGGGUUCUGUCACCAGCAUCAUAGAGAGCCCUGAGUGCUGGUCUCAGUUCCCAAAGUAUAAUUCAUUGUAAGUCAUUAGCACAUCGAUAAAGGCUCGAAAUCUUCAGAAUACCUGUGACUUUUCUCACAGCCAAAAGGACUUGAACUGUUAUGCAUUCAGCCAAGGAGCGUUUGAGACUCAAGAGAUAAAUGGGGAGUGGUAGGCCAGGCCUGUGUUGGGAGAACAGGGAGACGUGGCAGGAAGAUGAGGAGCUGAAGGCCGCCCUCUGUGGUGAACCACAAGUUCAAGAAAAAGAAAAGGGAACCAAAACCGUGUUCUGAGUCGUGUGUUGUGAUAGCCAUGAAAGAAGGAAGGGGACAUAGGUAGCUGUGGUAGCACAACCUAUGUCCUAAAUUUAAGGGAGACAGGUGCUUGGGGCGCCCUGAGGCCGCCAUUCAGUGGUACAGAGCUUCCCAGCGCUCAUGAGGUCCUGGGUUCUGUCACCAGCAUCCUAGAGAGGAUCAUGCUUAAAGAUACCCAAAUGGCCUGUACAGACAAAACCCUGAUCUUUUGUUAAUGCAUAAGCGUCGUGACUGGUCACACCUGAGGACAUGAUGUGGAAAAGGAGGAAAAUCCUAAAACCCCCAAAAGCUCAGUUAACCACGUCCAACACAGGAACAGACUGAGUGAAAGACUGUACGCGAAGGCAAACACAAGGCUGCACUAGACAAGGCCGACUGUAAUCCGGUCAGUCUGGUUUGAAGACUGAAGUUCCCACUUCAUACUUAAGUCUCGAUCUUCCCUUUUAAAGGCAUUAAAAUACCUUAGCUGUUUAUUAAACAAUAAGAACCAUCAGUGCUGAGCCAGGCAGUGAUGGCACACGCCUUCAUUCCCACCGCUCAGGAGGCGGAAGCAGAAGCAGGUGGAUCUCUGAGUUCAAGGCCAGCCUGGUCGACCGAGUGAGUUCCAGGACACGGAGAAACUUGGUCUUGCAAAACAAGACCUCGAGGACUGAGGAAAAUAUGUGAGAACAAAUAAAUAAGUUAA